CAGUAUAGUCGAUAACAAUGAUGAAUUUUUCAUUUCUUUAUCAAUAUAUUUAUGUUAAUUCAUUGUACUUUGUACAAACACAAAGAAAUAAUUAACUUCGUAUAUUUUUAGCUUGCAAUCGGUAAAAAAGCUAUUCAAACUCUUGCGAAACGUUAUGGAACUCAAUACCAAACCGGAAAUAUUGCUGAAACUAUUUAUAUUGCAAGCGGAAGUUCAAUGGAUUGGGUGAAAGGAACUUUUCACAAACCAAUUACUUACACUUAUGAACUAAGAGAUACUGGUCGCUAUGGUUUCUUGCUUCCAGCUGAUCAAAUUAUCCCUACUAGUCAAGAAACCCUGGAUUCCCUGAUUGCUAUGUUUAAGGAAGCGAAAGCUCGAGGUUACAAAUAAAUACGAUCACAUAAUUAGAAAAUAUAUUAAAACAAUUAUUUGUUUCAUUAAAAUUUAUAAUAAAUUAAUAUAAUAAAUUAAUAUAAUAAA